CCUGGUGCUGAUGGCGUGGUGGAACCACACUGAAUCCAUCCCCGAACUCAGAGGUGAAAACGCUACUGCGGCAACGAUAGUUGGAGGGUUGCCUCCCGCCAAAAUAGCUCGGCGCCAGGU
rnacentral:rRNA from 1 species